GUUGUCUUUUCAAAAAUGCAUUUGUUUUUGUUACAAAAAUUAGAUGUCACAUGCACUUUAAGUGUUUCAUUUUUGAGAAAAUUUUGAUGCGAAUUUACCUGUGAAUAACUGAACAUAUUUGUAAAUAUGUAGAAACCUUUAAACAUUAUGAUAAAUAAUAAAAUGAUUAGAAAUGUUUGGGCUGUGAAAGCUCGGUGUGUUAACCUAACCCUAGGUUGCAUCAGGAAAGACAUUUGGAAUAAAACAAUUGUCAAAACUCUCUUGUAAGUUUAUUCAUUGGGACAACAUAAACAAUCAGGACAGAUCAUGCUGAGAUGUGAAGAACUCACAUUUCUUAGAAAGAUGAAAACAAAUCUGGAAGGAAGAUGACACACUAAAAGUUUAGGAUCAUUAAAAGACAAGCUGCAAGACUCAAACAAAAAGAAAAAUCAACACAUUUUCUGGUCUCAUGAGUGCAGUGUACAAGCAGGAGUCCUCAGCUCCUUGAAAGUAGCAAUUUUUUCUUUUGCCAUUGGCAUGUGUAGGUACACAAGAUGAUUGCACAUGUGUGUAUUAUGUGCAGGUACAAAAGAUGAUUGCACAUGUGUGUAUUAUGUGCAGGUACAAAAGAUGAUUGCACAUGUGUGUAAGUGUGCAGGUACAGAAGAUGAUUGCACAUAUCUGUAAGCGUGCAGGUAGGGAAGAUGAUUGCACAUGUGUGUAAGUGUGCAGGUACAGAAGAUGAUUGCACAUGUGUGUGUUAGUGUGCAGGUACAAAAGAUGAUUGCACAUGUGUGUGUUAGUGUGCAGGUACAAAAGAUGAUUGCACAUGUGUGUAAGUGUGCAGGUACAGAAGAUGAUUGCACAUAUGUGUAAGCGUGCAGGUAGAGAAGAUGAUUGCACAUGUGUGUAAGUGUGCAGGUAGAGAAGAUGAUUGCACAUGUGUGUGUUAGUGUGCAGGUACAAAAGAUGAUUGCACAUGUGUGUGUAAGUGUGCAGGUACAAAAGAUGAUUGCACAUGUGUGUGUAUUAUGUGCAGGUACAAAAGAUGAUUGCACAUGUGUGUGUAUUAUGUGCAGGUACAAAAGAUGAUUGCACAUGUGUGUGUAUUAUGUGCAGGUACAAAAGAUGAUUGCACAUGUGUGUGUAUUAUGUGCAGGUACAAGGUGAGGAGAGUUGCAACUUUGCUGUUGAUGCAUGAAGAGGGAUGUGGGAAGAAUAAUGGUUAGGAACCACAUGUUUAAAAUGUCAACAAAGUAAACAACUGUUGUGUAAAACCAAUGUACAGUAUUUCUGUUUGCUCAGGCAGUACACUUUCAGAGCCGUUUAGAGAAAUAAUUAACAUUUUUAAAGACUGUCUGAUUGAUCUGAAGUUACUACUCAAAGCCAACUUGUUAAUACCAUGCUGAUAGAUAGUUGACAUCCAGAAACUGUCCAUUGGGACCGACGUGUUUUCUACUUUAUCAGAUGAAAUUGGAUGAAAUGGGACUUUUGUUAUCUACACAGUAAAGCUAUAAUUGACUGCAUGAUGGAUAAGUAUUGUCUGGCUAAUGGGAGACAUGCCACUGUUUGAAAGUACAAGGCCUUUGAGAGAUUUCUUUUUUUAAAGAAAAUGUUUGCCCCUGAAGCCCCUCUGUAUCCUCCAAAGGUCCUUAAUCAUUUCAGUCCUUGGGGUCUGAUACUGUCUCUGGAAGCAGUGGAGCUGCACUUGAGAAAUUAAUGUCUUAAUCCUCUGGUCCUCUUUUUAUACACACACACACACACACACACACACACACACACACACACACACACACACACACACACAC